rnacentral:misc_RNA from 1 species
AUUUCAGCCAUGGAAGACGAUUUCGACUUCGGCGACAAAGUCCCGCCGGCCGUCAACCGCAUGGGGAACGUGAUUAGAGAUGCAGAUGCAAGAGGAUUCAAUCCAGGACUGAUUGUGCUGCUUGUAGUUGGUGGGCUGCUCUUGGCUUUUCUUGUUGGAAAUUAUGCUCUCUACAUGUAUGCGCAGAAGACCCUCCCACCAAAAAAGAAGAAACCAGUUUCUAAGAAGAAAAUGAAGAGGGAGAGAUUGAAGCAAGGUAUCUCUGCACCUGGAGAGUAGAAGUGUAGUAGUUGUAGUGUUUGAUUUUUCUCUUAUGUGUUGUAUUUCUGUUCCUUACUUGGUUGAACUAACAAGUUCUCCCUACGAAUUUCAGUGUUUGAAGAGUUGUUUUGUUUAUGUUGUUAAGUUGUUUGGAAUCUGAACAUAUGAUUAGAAGUUAGAAGUUUAUCGUCCCUUGUAUCCUUAGAGAUGAGAUAAUAAUAACAUAGUUUU